AAGUCAAGCGUUUGCAAGUACUUAGGAAUGGAAGUAAAGGACCAAGUUUGUCUGUCUUGUUAGUGUUGGAUGAGAUUAAGAUGCCUGAACGAAUCAUGAUUGGUCAACAGGGAAUAUCAAUCCAGUUUGUAUGGGUACCUGCUCAUAAAGGAGUUGGUGGUAAUGAGGAAGCAGACAAGCUGGCAAAAGAGGCAACUAAGGAAGAGGAAGUUCAGUUAAACAUUCCUCUCAGCAGAUCAGAAGUUAAGUCCAGUAGAUGGCGGUAAUACACUUUGCCUGUAAACUGCCAUAAAACCUGACAGAAGAAGAAGAA